GGGCGUAAAGAGCUCGUAGGCGGUUUGUCGCGUCUGUCGUGAAAGUCCGGGGCUUAACCCCGGAUCUGCGGUGGGUACGGGCAGACUAGAGUGCAGUAGGGGAGACUGGAAUUCCUGGUGUAGCGGUGGAAUGCGCAGAUAUCAGGAGGAACACCGAUGGCGAAGGCAGGUCUCUGGGCUGUAACUGACGCUGAGGAGCGAAAGCAUGGGGAGCGAACAGGAUUAGAUACCCUGGUAGUCCAUGCCGUAAACGUUGGGCACUAGGUGUGGGGACCAUUCCACGGUUUCCGCGCCGCAGCUAACGCAUUAAGUGCCCCGCCUGGGGAGUACGGCCGCAAGGCUAAAACUCAAAGGAAUUGACGGGGGCCCGCACAAGCGGCGGAGCAUGCGGAUUAAUUCGAUGCAACGCGAAGAACCUUACCAAGGCUUGACAUGUUCUCGAUCGCCGUAGAGAUACGGUUUCCCCUUUGGGGCGGGUUCACAGGUGGUGCAUGGUUGUCGUCAGCUCGUGUCGUGAGAUGUUGGGUUAAGUCCCGCAACGAGCGCAACCCUCGUUCCAUGUUGCCAGCACGUAAUGGUGGGGACUCAUGGGAGACUGCCGGGGUCAACUCGGAGGAAGGUGAGGACGACGUCAAAUCAUCAUGCCCCUUAUGUCUUGGGCUUCACGCAUGCUACAAUGGCCGGUACAAUGGGUUGCGAUACUGUGAGGUGGAGCUAAUCCCAAAAAGCCGGUCUCAGUUCGGAUUGGGGUCUGCAACUCGACCCCAUGAAGUCGGAGUCGCUAGUAAUCGCAGAUCAGCA
rnacentral:rRNA from 1 species